rnacentral:misc_RNA from 1 species
GGACAAGUGCAAACGGGAACCAAUUUCUGACCCAGGCUGAGUCUUUUGCAAUACAUCACCGACCAAAGCAUCAAUAUAUUUCAAUUCAUCCAAAGUUGUUUUGUCUUUGUCACCAUGGACUUCGUCACCAACUCCUAUAUGCACAAACAAUAAAUCAAACUCACUUGUAUCCUGUAUCUUCCCAUCUUGAAAGCCAAGCUUCUUCAGCAACUCAGAGGUCAGAAAGUCAACCAGUG